AUAUUCCCAAAGAGAUUACAAGGAUUAAAGAAUAACAAAUCAAAAAUUUUCACCAAAAUAUAACAUUUUACACAGAAGUCAUCACUGACUUGGGGAGGAAGGACUUAGUAAUUUUAAACCUUUUUAAUCCAUUCAUGGUUGAUUGAUUGUUCUUCCUAAGGCUUUGGUGGUUCUGCAGCAGCAGAUUCCUCCACCUUUGGAGGAGGAGCCUCAGCAGCAGCUUCUGGCUCAGUAGGUUUAGGUUUUUUAACCUCCUCUUUCUUCUCCUCCACCACCACCUCUUCUUUUUUCUCUUCUUCGAUCACUAUCUCCUUUUCUUUUACAACACCACUUGUUUCCUCCUCAGUUUUUGUUGCUUCUGCUGGCGGUGGCAGCGGCUCUACCGUUUCCUCAGUCACAAUGAAUGUUGAGACCUUCUCGAACACAAAGAAAACUGGACCUGAAAC
rnacentral:lncRNA from 1 species